rnacentral:rRNA from 1 species
GAUGAACGCUGGCGGUAUGCUUAACACAUGCAAGUCGAACGGGAUAUCUUCGGAUAUUUAGUGGCGGACGGGUGAGUAACGCGUGAGAACAUGCCCUUAGGUUCGGGACAACAGUUGGAAACGACUGCUAAUACCGAAUGUGCCGAGAGGUGAAAGAUUAAUUGCCUAGGGAUUGGCUCGCGUCAGAUUAGCUAGUUGGUAGAGUAACGGUUUACCAAGGCGACGAUCNGUAACUGGUCUGAGAGGAUGACCAGUCACACUGGGACUGAGACACGGCCCAGACUCCGUACGGGGGCUGCAGUAACGAAUCUUCCGCAAUGCACGCAAGUGUGACGGAGCGACGCCGCGUGUAGGAUGAAGCCC